rnacentral:rRNA from 1 species
GAUGAACGCUGGCGGCGUGCCUAAUACAUGCAAGUCGAGCGAACAGACGAGGAGCUUGCUCCUCUGACGUUAGCGGCGGACGGGUGAGUAACACGUGGAUAACCUACCUAUAAGACUGGGAUAACUUCGGGAAACCGGAGCUAAUACCGGAUAAUAUAUUGAACCUCAUGGUUCAAUAGUGAAAGACGGUUUUGCUGUCACUUAUAGAUGGAUCCGCGCCGCAUUAGCUAGUUGGUAAGGUAACGGCUUAGCAAGGCAACGAUGCGUAGCCGACCUGAGAGGGUGAUCGGCCACACGGGAACUGAGACACGGUCCAGACUCCUACGGGAGGCAGCAGUAGGGAAUCUUCCGCAAUGGGCGAAAGCUUGACAGAGCAACACCGCGUGAGUGAUGAAGGUCUUCGGAUCGUAAAGCUCUGUUAUUAGGGAAGAACAAAUGUGUAAGUAACUAUGCACGUCUUGACGGUACCUAAUCAGAAAGCCACGGCUAACUACGUG